AAUGUACUCCCUCUGUCCGAAAAUACUUGUCAUCAAAAUAGAUAAAAAGAGAUGUAUGUAGAACUAAAAUACGUCUAGAUACAUUCCCUUUUAUCCAUAUUGAUGACAAGUAUUUCUGGACAGAGGGAGUACAAU
rfam:Triticum aestivum genome assembly, contig: Triticum_aestivum_CS42_TGACv1_scaffold_592142_7BS